rnacentral:rRNA from 1 species
ACGAACGCUGGCGGCGUGCCUAAUACAUGCAAGUAGAACGCUGAAGAGAGGAGCUUGCUCUUCUUGGAUGAGUUGCGAACGGGUGAGUAACGCGUAGGUAACCUGCCUUGUAGCGGGGGAUAACUAUUGGAAACGAUAGCUAAUACCGCAUAACAAUGGAUGACACAUGUCAUUUAUUUGAAAGGGGCAAUUGCUCCACUACAAGAUGGACCUGCGUUGUAUUAGCUAGUAGGUGAGGUAACGGCUCACCUAGGCGACGAUACAUAGCCGACCUGAGAGGGUGAUCGGCCACACUGGGACUGAGACACGGCCCAGACUCCUACGGGAGGCAGCAGUAGGGAAUCUUCGGCAAUGGGGGCAACCCUGACCGAGCAACGCCGCGUGAGUGAAGAAGGUUUUCGGAUCGUAAAGCUCUGUUGUAAGUCAAGAACGGGUGUGAGAGUGGAAAGUUCACACUGUGACGGUAGCUUACCAGAAAGGGACGGCUAACUACGUG